rnacentral:rRNA from 1 species
AUUGAACGCUGGCGGCAGGCCUAACACAUGCAAGUCGAGCGGAUGAAGAGAGCUUGCUCUCUGAUUUAGCGGCGGACGGGUGAGUAAUGCCUAGGAAUCUGCCUGGUAGUGGGGGAUGACGUUCCGAAAGGAACGCUAAUACCGCAUACGUCCUACGGGAGAAAGCAGGGGACCUUCGGGCCUUGCGCUAUCAGAUGAGCCUAGGUCGGAUUAGCUAGUUGGUGAGGUAAUGGCUCACCAAGGCUACGAUCCGUAACUGGUCUGAGAGGAUGAUCAGUCACACUGGAACUGAGACACGGUCCAGACUUCUACGGGAGGCAGCAGUGGGGAAUAUUGGACAAUGGGCGAAAGCCUGAUCCAGCCAUGCCGCGUGUGUGAAGAAGGUCUUCGGAUUGUAAAGCACUUUAAGUUGGGAGGAAGGGCAGUAAGUUAAUACCUUGCUGUUUUGACGUUACCGACAGAAUAAGCACCGGCUAACUUCGUGCCAGCAGCCGCCGUAAUAC